rnacentral:rRNA from 1 species
AGAGCUUGCUUUUCAAAGUUAGUGGCGAACGGGUGAGUAAUGUAUAAGAAUCUACCUAGCAGUAAGGAAUAACUUCGGGAAACUGAAGCUAAUACCAUAUAUUACCGUUUAUUCGGGAAAGAUUUAUCGCUGUUAGAUGAGCUUAUAUCAGAUUAGCUUGUUGGUAGGGUAAUGGCCUACCAAGGCGAUGAUCUGUAGCUGGUCUGAGAGGAUGACCAGUCACACUGGGACUGAGACACGGCCCAGACUCC